rnacentral:rRNA from 1 species
UGGGGAAUAUUGGACAAUGGGCGAAAGCCUGAUCCAGCCAUGCCGCGUGUGUGAAGAAGGUCUUCGGAUUGUAAAGCACUUUAAGUUGGGAGGAAGGGCAUUAACCUAAUACGUUAGUGUUUUGACGUUACCGACAGAAUAAGCACCGGCUAACUCUGUGCCAGCAGCCGCGGUAAUACAGAGGGUGCAAGCGUUAAUCGGAAUUACUGGGCGUAAAGCGCGCGUAGGUGGGUUGUUAAGUUGGAUGUGAAAUCCCCGGGCUCAACCUGGGAACUGUAUUCAAAACUGACUGACUAGAGUAUGGUAGAGGGUGGUGGAAUUUCCUGUGUAGCGGUGAAAUGCGUAGAUAUAGGAAGGAACACCAGUGGCGAAGGCGACCACCUGGACUAAUACUGACACUGAGGUGCGAAAGCGUGGGGAGCAAACA